AAUUUAAAAGGGAUUUUAAAAGCUUUGAAAACUGGUUAACAUGGUUUACAAAUCGUUUUAAAGCGUAAGUAAGUGGCAUAGAAUAAUUUACAAGGGAUUUUAAAAGCUUUGAAAAGUGGUUAACAUGGUUUACAAAUCGUUUUAAAGCGUAAGUAAGUGGCAUAGAAUUAUUUACAAGAGAUUUUAAAAGCUUUGAAAAGUGGUUAACAUGGUUUACAAAUUGUGUUAAAGCGUAAGUAAGUGGCAUAGAAUUAUUUACAAGGGAUUUUAAAAGCUUUGAAAAGUGGUUAACAUGGUUU
rnacentral:sRNA from 1 species